rnacentral:tRNA from 1 species
GGGCAGGUGGCGGAAUUGGCAGACGCGCUAGGUUCAGGACCUAGUCCUGGUAAAACGGGAUGCGGGUUCAACUCCCGCCCUGCCCA